AACGAACGCUGGCGGCAUGCCUAACACAUGCAAGUCGAACGAGACCUUCGGGGCUUGUGGCGCAAGGGUGCGUAACGCCUGGGAACUUGCCCUUAGGUUCGGAAUAACUCACCGCAAGGGGUGCUAAUACCGGUUAAUGUCUUCGGACCAAAGAUUUAUUGGCUUUGGUUGGGCCCGCGUUGGAUUAGCGUGUUGGUAGGGUAAAAGCCUACCCAGGUGACGGUUCAUAGCUGGUCUGAGAGGAUGAUCAGCCACUCUGGGACUGAGACAGGGCACAGACUCCUACGAGAGAGAGGUGUGGAGAAUAUUAGACAGUGGGCGAGAGCCUGAUCCAGCAGUGCCGCGUGGGAUAUGAGGGCCUGGGGGUUAUAAAGCUCUUUUACCCGAGAUGAUAAUGACAGUACCGGGAGAAUAAGCACCGGCUAACUCCGUG
rnacentral:rRNA from 1 species